GGAAUUAUAGCUCAGCCGGUUAGAGCGCCACGCUCACAUCGUGGAGGUCGAGGGUUCGAGUCCCCCUAAUUCCACCA
rnacentral:tRNA from 1 species